rnacentral:rRNA from 1 species
AUCGCCCGGGAAUUACGAGCAAAGCUUAAAACCCAAAGGACUUGACGGUACCCCACAUCCACCUAGAGGAGCCUGUCCUAUAAUCGAUAAUCCCCGUUCUACCUCACCACUUUUAGCUCAUCAGCCUGUAUACUUCCGUCGUCAGCUUACCCCGUGAGUGACCCUCAGUAAGCUUCUUGCCCAUGCGCCAAUACGUCAGGUCAAGGUGCAGCAAAUAAAGUGGAAAGAGAUGGGCUACACUCUCUAAUCUAGAAUAUACAGAAGACUAUAUAUGAAACCUAGUCAGAAGGCGGAUUUAGUAGUAAAAAGAGACAAGAGUGCUCUUUUUAACAUGGCACUGGGGUGUGUACAC